ensembl:lncRNA
GUGGGAUGGAUGAGAUCAUUGGGAUGGAUGGGAUCAUUGGCGGGAUCAGUGUGGUCACCGAGGUGGUGGUUAUGGGAUGGAUGGGAUCAUUGGGAUGGAUGGGAUCAUUGGUGGGAUGGGUGGGAUCACUGGUGGCAUCAGUGGGGUCACCGAGGUGGUGGUUCUGGGGUGGAUGGGAUCACUGAAUGAUGGGUGGGAUCACUGGGAUGGAUGGGGUCACCGAAUGGUGGGUGGGAUCACUGGGAUCUCUGGGAUGGGUGGGAUCACUGUAUGAUGCGUGGGGUCACUGGGAUGGAUGGCAUCAUUGGAUGAUGGAUGGGAUCACUGGGAUGGAGGGGAUCAUUGGUGGGAUGGGUGGGAUCACUGGUGGCAUCAGUGGGGUCACCGAGGUGGUGGUGCUGGGAUGGAUGGGAUCAUUGAAUGAUGGGUGGGGUCGCUGGGAUGGAUGGCAUCAUUGGAUGUUGGGUGGGAUCGCUGGGAUGGAUGGGAUCACCGAAUGGUGGGUGGGAUCGCUGGGAUCACUGGAUGGGUGGGGUCACUGAAUGAUGGGUGGGGUCACUGGGAUUGGUGGGGUCACUGAAUGAUGGGUGGGGUCACGGGGAUGGAUGGCAUCAUUGGAUGAUGGAUGGGAUCAUUGGCAUGGAUGGGAUCACUGAAUGCUGGGUGGGAUCACUGGGAUGCAUGGGAUCAUUAGUGGGAUGGGCGGGAUCACCGGUGGUAUCAGUGGGGUCACCGAGGUGGUGGUGCUGGGAUGGAUGGCAUCAUCGGAUGAUGGGGGGGAUCACAGGGAAGGAUGGGAUCAUUGGGAUGGAUGGGAUCACCGAAUGGUUGGUGGGAUCACUGGGAUCACUGGGAUGGGUGGGAUCACUGAACGAUGGGUGGGGUCACUGGGAUGGAUGGCAUCAUUGGGAUGGAUGGGAUCACUGGGAUGGAUGGGAUCGUUGGUGGGAUGGACUGGAUCACUGGUGGCAUCAGUGGGGUCACCGAGGUGGUGGUGCUGGGAUGGAUGGGAUCACUGGGAUGGAUGGGAGCACCGAAUGGUGGGUGGGAUUGCUGGGAUCACUGGGAUGGGUGGGGUCACUGAACGAUGGGUGGGGUCACUGGGAUGGAUGGGAUCAUUGGAUGAUGGGUGGGAUUGCUGGAUGAUUCGGAUCAUUGGUGUGAUGGGUGGGCUCGCUGGUGGCAUCAGUGGGGUCACUGAGGUGGUGGUUCUGGGAUGGAUGGGAUCAUUGAAUGAUGGGUGGGGUCGCUGGGAUGGAUGGCAUCAUUGGAUGUUGGGUGGGAUCGCUGGGAUGGAUGGGAUCACCGAAUGGUGGGUGGGAUCGCUGGGAUCACUGGGAUGGGUGGGGUCACUGAAUGAUGGGUGGGGUCACUGGGAUGGAUGGCAUCAUUGGAUGAUGGGGGGGAAGACUGGGAUGAUUGGGAUCACUGGGAUGGAUGGGAUCAUUGAAUGAUGGAUGGGAUUACUGGGAUGGAGGGGAUCAUUGGUGGGAUGGGCGGGAUCACUGGUGGCAUCAGUGGGGUCACCGAGGUGGUGGUGCUGGGAUGGAUGGGAUCAUUGAAUGAUGGGUGGGGUCACUGGGAUGGAUGGGAUCACUGGGAUGGAUGGGAUCACCGAAUGGUGGGUGGGGUCACUGGAAUGGAUGGCAUCAUUGGAUGAUGGGGGGGAUCACAGGGAUGGAUGGGAUCAUUGGAUGAUGGAUGGGAUCACUGGGAAGGAUGGGAUCAUUGGUGGGAUGGGCGGGAUCACUGGUGGCAUCAGUGGGGUCACUGACGUGGUGGUGCUGGGAUGGAUGGGAUCACCGAAUGAUGGGUGGGAUCUCUGGGAUGGAUGGGAUCACUGGGAUGGAUGGGAUCACUGGGAUGGAUGGCAUCAUUGGAUAAUGGAUGGGAUCAUUGGGAUGGAUGGGAUCACUGGAAUGGAUGGGAUCACCGAAUGGUGAGUGGGAUCAGUGGGAUGGAUGAGAUCAUUGGGAUGGAUGGGAUCAUUGGCGGGAUCAGUGUGGUCACCGAGGUGGUGGUUAUGGGAUGGAUGGGAUCAUUGGGAUGGAUGGGAUCAUUGGUGGGAUGGGUGGGAUCACUGGUGGCAUCAGUGGGGUCACCGAGGUGGUGGUUCUGGGGUGGAUGGGAUCACUGAAUGAUGGGUGGGAUCACUGGGAUGGAUGGGGUCACCGAAUGGUGGGUGGGAUCACUGGGAUCUCUGGGAUGGGUGGGAUCACUGUAUGAUGCGUGGGGUCACUGGGAUGGAUGGCAUCAUUGGAUGAUGGAUGGGAUCACUGGGAUGGAGGGGAUCAUUGGAUGAGAGGUGGGAUCGCUGGGAUGGAUGGGGUCACUGGGAUGGAUGGGAUCACCAAAUGGUGGGUGGGGUCACUGGGAUGGAUGGCAUCAUUGGAUGAUGGAUGGGAUCACUGGGAUGGAUGGGAUCACUGGGAUGGAUGGGAUCACUGAAUGGUGGGUGGGACUGCUGGGAUCACUGGGAUGGGUGGGAUCACUGUAUGAUGCGUGGGGUCACUGGGAUGGAUGGCAUCAUUGGAUGAUGGAUGGGAUCACUGGGAUGGAAGGGAUCAUUGAAUGAUGGGGGGAAUGACUGGGAUUAGUGUUGGGAUGGGUGGGAUCACUGGUGGCAUCAGUGGGGUCACUGAGGUGGUGGUUCUGGGAUGGAUGGGAUCAUUGAAUGAUGGGUGGGAUCGCUGGGAUGGAUGGGAUCACCGGGAUGGAUGGGAUCACCGAAUGGUGGGUGGGAUCGCUGGGACAGAGGCGAUCAUUGAAUGAUGGGUGGGAUUGCGGGGAUGGAUGGGAUCAUUGUAAUGGAUGGGAUCGUUGGGAUGGAUGGGAUCACGGAAUGGUUGGUGGGAUCGCUGGGAUCAUUGGGAUGGGUGGGAUCACUGAACGAUGGGUGGGGUCACUGGGAUGGAUGGCAUCAUUGGGAUGGAUGGGAUCACCGAACGGUUGGUGGGAUCGCUGGGAUCACUGGGAUGGGUGGGAUCACUGAACGAUGGGUGGGGUCACUGGGAUGGAUGGGAUCAUUGGUUGAUGGGUGGGAACGCUUGGAUGGUUGGGAUCAUUGGUGUGAUGGGUGGGCUCGCUGGUGGCAUCAGUGGGGUCACUGAGGUGGUGGUGCUGAGAUGGAUGGGAUCAUUGAAUGAUAGGUGGGUCACUGGGAUGGAUGGGAUCACCGAAUGGUGGGUGGGAUUGCUGGGAUCACUGGGAUGGGUGGGAUCACUGGGAUGGGUGGGAUCAUUGGGAUGGAUUGGAACAUUGAAUGGUGGGUGGGACUGCUGGGAUCACUGGGAUGGGUGGGGUCACUGAACGAUGGGUGGGGUCACUGGAAUGGACAGCAUCAUUGGAUGAUGGGUGGGAUCGCUGGGAUGGAUGGGAUCACCGAAUGGUGGGUGGGAUCGCUGGGACGGAGGCGAUCAUUGAAUGAUGGGUGGGAUCACUGGGAUGGAUGGGAUCAUUCUAAUGGAUGGGAUCGUUGGGAUGGAUGGGAUCACGGAAUGGUUUGUGGGAUCGCUGGGAUCACUGGGAUGGGUGGGGUCACUGAACGAUGGGUGGGGUCACUGGGAUGGACGGCAUCAUUGGAUGAUGGGUGGGAUCGCUGGGAUCGAUGGCGCCACGGGGAUGGAUGGGAUCACUGGAUGAUGGAUGGGAUCACUGGGAUGGAGGGGAUCAUUGGAUGGUGGAUGGGAUCACUGGGAUGGAGGGGAUCAUUGGUGGGAUGGGUGGGAUCGCGGGGAUGGAUGGGAUCACCGAAUGGUGGGUGGGAUCGCUGGGAUCACUGGGAUGGGUGGGAUCACUGAACGAUGGGUGGGGUCACUGGGAUGGAUGGGAUCAUUGGUUGAUGGGUGGGAUCGCUUGGAUGGUUGGGAUCAUUGGUGUGAUGGGUGGGCUCGCUGGUGGCAUCAGUGGGGUCACUGAGGUGGUGGUGCUGAGAUGGAUGGGAUCAUUGAAUGAUAGGUGGGUCACUGGGAUGGAUGGGAUCACCGAAUGGUGGGUGGGAUUGCUGGGAUCACUGGGAUGGAUGGCAUCAUUGGGAUGGAUGGGAUCACCGAAUGGUGGGUGGGAUCGCUGGGAUCACUGGGAUGGAUGGGAUCACUGAAUGAUGGGUGGGGUCACUGGGAUGGAUGGCAUCAAUGGAUGAUGGGGGGGAUCACAGGGAUGGAUGGGAUCAUUGGAUGAUGGGGGGGAUCACAGGGAUGGAUGGGAUCAUUGGAUGAUGGAUGGGAUCACUGGGAAGGAUGGGAUCAUUGGUGGGAUGGGCGGGAUCACUGGUGGCAUCAGUGGGGUCACUGACGUGGUGGUGCUGGGAUGGAUGGGAUCACCGAAUGAUGGGUGGGAUCUCUGGGAUGGAUGGGAUCACUGGGAUGGAUGGGAUCACUGGGAUGGAUGGCAUCAUUGGAUAAUGGAUGGGAUCAUUGGGAUGGAUGGGAUCACUGGAAUGGAUGGGAUCACCGAAUGGUGAGUGGGAUCAGUGGGAUGGAUGAGAUCAUUGGGAUGGAUGGGAUCAUUGGCGGGAUCAGUGUGGUCACCGAGGUGGUGGUUAUGGGAUGGAUGGGAUCAUUGAAUGAUGGGUGGGAUCGCUGGGAUGGAUGGGAUCAUUGGGAUGGAUGGGAUCACCGAAUGGUUGGUGGGAUCGCUGGGAUCACUGGGAUGGGUGGGAACACUGAACGAUGGAUGGGGUCACUGGGAUGGAUGGCAUCAUUGGGAUGGAUGGGAUCACUGGGAUGGAUGGGAUCGUUGGUGGGAUGGGUGGGGUCACUGGUGGCAUCAGUGGGGUCACCGCGGUGGUGGUGCUGGGAUGGAUGGGAUCAUUGGAUGAUGGGUGGGGUCACUGGGAUGGAUGGCACCAUUGGAUGACGGAUGGGAUCAUUGGGAUGGAUGGGAUCACCGAAUGGUGGGUGGGAUCGCUGGGAUCACUGGGAUGGGUGGGGUCACUGAAUGAUGUGUGGGGUCACUGGGAUGGAUGGCAUCAUUGGAUGAUGGAUGGGAUCACUGGGAUGGAUGGGAUCACUGGGAUGGGUGGGAUCAGCGGUGGGAUGGGCGGGAUCACUGGUGGCAUCAGUGGGAUCACCGAGAUGGUGGUGCGGGGAUGGAUGGGAUCAUUGGAUGAUGGGUGGGGUCACUGGGAUGGAUGGCACCAUUGGAUGACGAAUGGGAUCAUUGGGAUGGAUGGGAUCACCGAAUGGUGGGUGGGAUCGCUGGGAUCACUGGGUGGGUGGGAUCACUGAAUGAUGGGUGGGGUCACUGGGAUGGAUGGCAUCAUUGGAUGAUGGAUGGGAUCACUGGGAUGGAUGCGAUCAUUGAAUGAUGGAUGGGAUCGGGGGAAGGAUGGGAUCACUGGGAUGGGUGGGGUCACUGAAUGAUGGGUGGGGUCAGUGGGAUGGAUGGCAUCAUUGGAUGAUGGAUGGGAUCACUGGGAUGGAUGGGAUCAUUGGGAUGGAUGGGAUCAUUGGUGGGAUGGGUGGGAUCACUGGU